AACUUUCAACAACGGAUCUCUUGGUUCUCGCAUCAAUAAAGAACGCAACGAAAUGCGAUACGUAAUGUGAAUUGCAUAAUUCAGUGAAUCAUCCAAUCUUUGAACGCACAUUGCACUCUAUGGUAUUCCGGAAAGCAUGCCUGUUUCAGUAUCAUGA
rnacentral:rRNA from 1 species